AAUACUAACACAAUCCUGUGUUGAGAACUGUCAAAUCGUCAACUUUAUUUACCACUCUCCGCAAUUACGAACGACGGUGCAUGCGAGACGACGAACUGUAAUGCGAUUUAUUCACGGUUUUCGCGAGUUUUCCGGCGAUUGUUUUUGUUCAAAUCGUGUCCUCCAGGAGCAGGAUCUCGAGGUGCGCAAGGAUCAGCGAUCGGGAAUGCUUUUACCGGUCGAUAUAUCACUGAAUGUUUUGGGGGAUCAACUGAUGGAGAGAGCGUGCUAUUGGAGAAGAUAAUUUGCUGAUUUGCCGCUCCCGGUGAUCAAUCCGAGGCGAAGUAUGCUUCAUUAACGUCCGAACGAUUUUGUGACUGGCUUCGGGUUUCAGAUCACAGACGGAAAAUACUCCGAUUGACUUUCCCGACUCGUCUGCCAGCUCAUAAGAGCUCGUCCCAAUGCGAGCAAGAACGGUACAGGGAACGUAUAGAGCGUCUAAUUUAGCGUUAUACGAGUUCGCUGCGGAAGACAGACGAAAGUUCCGACGGAACACCCUCUGGCCGACUGCGUAGACCGGAGCCGAAUGUUUCGUUCUUAGGUUGUACGUGUUAAGGUUCUUUUCAUGGCAUUUUCUCAGAUUUUUUUGAAUAGUUGAAUAAAUAUGAUCGUCAAUUCUUCCCUUUCUUUCCAACCUUCCAUCCUCCGAUACUUCCUCCUCUUCCCUGUCCAUCCUGUGUUCCUCUCCGGAUACAAUUAUUUCAUGCCCGAAUAGUACUCUAUAGGGAGAAAAUCCCGUAGAGGUAUGGGGUGUACAGUUUAGACAGUGUUCAAUCUCGGAC